rfam:Clostridium cadaveris strain NLAE-zl-G419 genome assembly, contig: Ga0070261_105
AUAGAAUAUUAGCAAAAUUAGAGAAAUCUAAUGACGCAAAGCUAGAUGGGCUAAAGUCUUACACCAUGCCAGCCAGUUGCCAAA